rnacentral:rRNA from 1 species
UACGAAGGGUGCAAGCGUUAAUCGGAAUUACUGGGCGUAAAGCGCGCGCAGGUGGUUCAGCAAGUUGGAUGUAGAAACGCCCGUGGGCUCAACCGUGGGAACUGCAUACCAAAACUACUGAGCUAGAGUACGGUAGAGGGUAGUGGAAUUUCCUGUGUAGCGGUGAAAUGCGUAGAUAUAGGAAGGAACACCAGUGGCGAAGGCGACUACCUGGACUGAUACUGACACUGAGGUGCG